UAAAUCAGACUUUGAGAGAGAGUUCAAGAGUACGUGAAACUGCCUCAGAGGGUAAACGGGUGGGCCCUCGAAAUCCUGUGGCGGGAGGAUUCAGUCGGACUAUGGCGGGAGCGCGGUCUUUCCUCUGACCCUUUGUUGGGCAGGUCUGGCUGCAUAGGCCCGUCGAAACCGACGCAUUUCUUCCCGCUCUGAGGACGUCGCAGCCGGUUGGGUUGUGCCCGAGUCGCCCAUGAGGGCGGACGCUGGAUGGUGGGCCGAUGGGAGUACGUCCUCCGCCGGUCUUUUAUCCUGUCCGCCCGAGGUGCGACACCCGACCGUGGUGAAAAAGGGGUCCCCGACGUGGGGCCCUGCCGUCCCCUGCCCUUGGAGGGUGGCGCGUGCCCAGUGGCAGGCUAACGGAGGUCGACGGCGAUGUCACUCUAGCAGUGCUCGCCGUUACUCCGUCGACUAUGGCUUGCUGGCGCCCCGCAGGGGAAAUGGCGGCUUGCGGCGAGUAAGUCGGUAACCCACCCGACCCGUCUUGAAACACGGACCAAGGAGUCUAACUUGUGCGCGAGUCAUGGGGUCUUGAACAGGCCCAAAGGCGCAACGAAAGUGAAGGUCGCACGAAAGUGACGGCCGAGUUGGGAUUCCGCGUCCCAGUGGCGCGGACGCACCAGCGGCCGGUGAAAACCGAUUUAUCGGUAACACCGUGCUUGAGCGCAUACGUUAGGACCCGAAAGAUGGUGAACUAUGCCCGGCCAGGGCGAAGUCAGAGGAAACUCUGAUGGAGGCUCGUAGCGCUUCUGACGUGCAAAUCGAUUGCGAGAGCCGGGUAUAGGGGCAAAAAAANUAAUUCAA
rnacentral:rRNA from 1 species